UACGGAGGGUGCGAGCGUUAUUCGGAUUUACUGGGCGUAAAGCGCAUGUAGGCGGUUUCGUAAGUCUGAUGUGAAAGCCCUCGACUUAAUCGAGGAAGUGCAUUGGAUACUGCUAGACUAGAGUGCAGGAGAGGAAGAUGGAAUUCCCGGUGUAGAGGUGAAAUUCGUAGAUAUCGGGAGGAACAACAGUGGCGAAGGCGAUCUUCUGGACUGUUACUGACGCUGAGAUGCGAAAGCGUGGGGAGCAAACAGG
rnacentral:rRNA from 1 species